rnacentral:rRNA from 1 species
UACAGGGGGUGCUAGCGUUGUUCGGAAUUACUGGGCGUAAAGGGCGCGUAGGCGGUUUUGUAAGUCAGGAGUGAAAGCCCGGAGCUCAACUCCGGAACUGCCAUUGAAACUGUGAAACUUGAGGACGAGAGAGGUGAGUGGAAUUCCCAGUGUAGAGGUGAAAUUCGUAGAUAUUCGGAAGAACACCAGUGGCGAAGGCGACUUACUGGACACAUAUUGACGCUGAGGUGCGAAAGCGUGGGGAGCAAACAGG